UACAAACAUGUGUAAAUUAUUGACAGACUAAUUACACAUGUAUGUAUAUAUGAAUACUAUCUAAACAAGUAUCAGUUGUAUACAAGUCAAGAAACAAGAAGAAGACCUAAGAGGUACCUGAAGAGUAGUGUCCUGUACAAAAGGUAAAUGACACCAUUAACUAAUAUUUAUAUGUAGAGGUUGUCUCACGUACACCGGGACAAUAGCUAAAGAUAAAAUCACUACUUUUAAAACAGCCCAUUAUCUCCGCUUAUAUCUCUGUUGGAGAGUUUAAAAAAUAAAUUUGAAUAGGUUUAUCUUCAACACCACAUGACACGUAAAAAUAUAAUACAGAUAUUGUAAACUACAAACAUUAACAUAUAAUAAAUAAAUUUUGUACCUCAACUAGAUUUAGUC
rnacentral:lncRNA from 1 species